GACGAACGCUGGCGGCGCGCCUAACACAUGCAAGUCGAACGGAGUCAAGAGGAGCUUGCUUUUCUUUACUUAGUGGCGCACGGGUGAGUAACGCGUGAGUAACCUGCCCUGGAGUGGGGGACAACAGUUGGAAACGACUGCUAAUACCGCAUAAGCCCACGGAUCUGCAUGGAUCUGCGGGAAAAGGAGUUAUUCGCUCUAGGCUGGACUCGCGUCCAAUUAGCUAGUUGGUGAGGUAACGGCCCACCAAGGCGACGAUUGGUAGCCGGACUGAGAGGUUGACCGGCCACAUUGGGACUGAGGCACGGCCCAGACUCCUACGGGAGGGAGCAGUGGGGGAUAUUGCACAAUGGGGGAAACCCUGAUGCAGCGACGCCGCGUGGAGGAAGAAGGUUUUCGGAUUGUAAACUCCUGUCGUUAGGGGCGAUAAUGACGGUACCUAACAAGAAAGCACCAGCUAACUACGUG
rnacentral:rRNA from 1 species